AAAUAGGUUAAAAAAUAAAAUCGCGAUAAGAACGUUGACUGUUUCUUUUAAUAAUCUGUGGUACGUUGAUAAAUUACGUUAUCUGUUUGGUUUUGUCAUUGCAAUAUUCGUCGAUUGUCGAUUGUGUUACUUUCCUUUUGGUUAAAUAAAAUAUUCACGAUUAACUACUUCGUUUUAGCAUCAAUGAAAAUUAACAACAUUUUUAUUGUUUAAAAAUAAGAAUUUCAUUUUCACUUAUUCAAGCAAAUCAAGUAGUGUCUGUGAAUUAUUCUCACAAGAGGUUAACCCGCUAUCUUGUCAAGUGUCAAGUGUGUAGAUGUUUUCAAGUUUUACUUCUUUCAAGUUAUUUUGUUUAUUAAAUAAAUGCAAUAAAUAGAUAUGGAUAAGAACAUGCGACGCCAAAUGUUGGUUUAGCUCGUAUCUGUGUGCUUGUGGUAAUUUGAUUCGUUUAAUCAGUACACUACUAGUUAACAAUACAGUGGCAAAAGUGAUUAACUUGUUUUUAUUACAAUUUCAAUAAAUCGUAAUAUCAGUUUAUAUCAAUAGUGCAAAAUACAAGAUCUUGGGAAUAUUUGAAUCUUACAUGUCAGAUUUUGACUACUCGAUGUUUUGGUAACCAUGAAAUAAUGGACUUAAAUCAUGUCCAUCAGAUGUGAAACACUGUAGCCAGAUCUAAUUAAUGCAUUAUAUAUGUAAUGGAAGUGGGUUCAAGUUGGUGAGAUGAAGUAUU